AAACAAAGCAAAUUUUUCUCUUCUUCAGUGAUCUACAGUUUGGCUGAAAAGACAAACUUUGUCUCUUAUAAAAGAAGAAUUAAGUUCCUACAUAUGCUCAUCAGAAGAUUAAAAAAAAAAAAAAAAACACAAAACACCUCUAUGACUUUAAGAAAUUUAGUCAAAACAAUUUCCCUAGAGCAGGAGUUGAUAUGAUUUAAGAUGUCUUACACAAUUUUACUUCAGCAUAAGCUAAAACUUGGGACUGAUGUUGGACCUUAGAGGCUGCAAUACUUUUAAAGGAGAGGAUGGGCUACACCAGAUAAUGAAGUGGAUUAGUCACGGUGGCUUUCUCACUGAAAGAAACAAAAGAGCUGCUAGAAAUACUGAGAAAGCAACUCCCUCUUUUCCUGCAAACAGGCAACUUCAAUUGUGUUACACAGCCGAGCUUCUUCAACUGAGACCACCUUCUUAACACUAUUAAGUGUUCAAGGAUAUCUAUUGAACUAAGUCCUAAGCCACCAUUUUGCAACUCUGUGAACUCACACGUAGCUGAGCAUGGAUGAGAUACUGGAAAUGUGGAUCUCUGUCAGAGAAAGCAAUUUCAAAGCUUUGGCUGCAGUAUUAUCUCACACCCCUCUCUGAAGGCCACUCUACAGUCAUUUACUUGCUCUGGAGAAAAAUGACAAGGCUUAGUACCAGAAGAAUCUGCCGGUACAUGUUAAAUCAGCUGAGAGCUCACUGGUACCCACAUGUGCCACCAUGGUUUGUGUUCUGGUCACCAGUAUGAACUACCAAGACUACUUAAAACUUAUUUCAAGUGGAUUUCUGCAAGCCUGUCAUGAACCACACAGGAUGGUAUUCAGUUCUGCCUGAUUUCUUACACGAAAAAGAGGAGUUAGUAAUAAAAAAAUUACAUGCAUAGCACAUUUCUUGGUGUUAGGCAAGAUAAGCAGCACGUCUGUCAGUAAUUCAGUUUGAGCUUGUUAUAUUUCUCAAUGUGUGCAUUUCUUGAGGUUUGGAUACCAAAUGUUGUACUCUAAUUAUCAUAGCUUCCUAGUGCUCUCCAGCCCCUUCGAGAAAUUUUCACUGGAUGUAUUGGGCUCUUUGCAGUAGUAGCAGCUGCUGAUCAUCACCUGGAUGCAUUCAUCAGGGCAGGGCUUCUUAGCACCAUUUCAAUCAUUUAUGGUGGAAAAUCAGUAUUAAGUAAACGCAAAUCUCUCUGGUUCUUCUUGCUUAAAUUAAAGCAUUCAGUCGUUCUGGUUUUAAGAUAUGCACGUCAAUUGCUUUUUAGCACUGAAAAUUUUAAUUUGGCUCCAGUGAAAAACAAACCCAUGCUUAACCAAAGAAAAUGUUCCAUUAAAGAAGUUACAGCAAGCUUCACAGAUAAAGAAGAAAGUAUGGUCCUUCAUUUCCAGUACUAUAAUUAGUUACACAUGUUGAAUUUUUAAAUAUUUUUCCAUGAUCAUGGACUAUACGCUCUGGGAAAACAAACAUCUGGGGGAGGGAGAGGAAUUUGCUGAAGAACAUUUCUCUAACAGUAGUUUUUUCAUCCAUUGAUUUACAAGCUACUGAUUUACAAGCUGUGAAUGAAUAGUAGCCUUCAACAACAGGAAGCCUUGCCAUUGGGAAACCCUAUAGCGUCAGGUGGAGCCCGGAGACAAGCCUGUCUGCUUGCAGGGAAAUUCACUCCAGGAGCCCCCUGUAAUCAGAGCUGUUAACCAGAAGGAAAUGUCUUCAGUACUCUUACAUGGCCCUUAAUCAGAUACUGACAGGGUCCUUUUGAUCAAUGCAUUUUCAAAAUGAGGGUAACUGCAGUUUAUAGUAUGUCUGCACAGAUUUCACAGCCAGCUCCCAGCGCGCACAGUCGGAAGAAUUGCUCGGACUUCACUCCCUGCUCUCCUUUUCUUUUGCUUGUUCAGAAGACUGAGUCAAAGAGACUUAGAAAUUAGCAGCACAGAGUGCCAUGGACGCUUAAUAGCUUUGCUGGUCCUCUGGACGUGGCAGGGAGGCAGCUUUUGCUUGCAGGUCUCAUGGCAUUUAACAGCCUUGGGGUGGGGCAGCAGGAGGGAAAAGCUCUCAGCCAGCUGCUCCUGAAGUGUUUGAGCUGAUGGUGAGCUGAGGCUGGAGGGUAAGACUCAAACAUCCUUGUACACGUUUAAUGUGGUCUAAAUAGUAUUAGAAGAGAUGGUUUUAGGUCCCAUCCCAUUAAAAGAAUGUGCUUCAAGCUUAGAGAUCAUAAAGUGAAAUGAGAACAUAUUAAUCAGGCAGUCAUUACCCAUCCUCUUACAUCACCUGGUUGUACCUUGGUACAGCAGGGGUCCGAAGCAGUGGGUGAUCGUACAUAGCAUAUGCAGUGAACUGUGUAGCACAUAUGGUAUAUACAUUGCAGAAUCACAAGAUAAAAGCUCACCUGCUGUUCUGUGGCUUUCUUAAUAGAGUACCUAUGCACCACCGGGUGAAUUAAGAGUAGAGUAGCAGCUUUAACUCUAGAUUUCCUCACUUCUUUGUUAGAACACUUUUCUUGUUUAAUUUAAGUUCUUAUUAAGUCACUGAGGAAAUGAGGAAUGUGAUGUUAAGGCAGAAUGUAAUUUUAAUGGAGAAAAAGAGCCCUCUCAAUUUUACGCAGUCUUUUUACAUAAAGAAAGAUACCCCCCAUGCAAAACAGCUAUGGUAGGCCUAUAUAUAUUUUGCAGAUAUAUUCUGCAGCGUUAAUAAAGGCAGUAAUUGCAUGCAUGAAAACAAGUGGCUCAAGAGGCUUAAGGAACAUUAGUAACUCUUGCUCACAAACGUAUUGAGAAGACAAGAAAAAACCUUGCAUUUGAAUACCCUGCAAGUCUGCACACCUUCAACAAUGAAGAGAUGAAAAAUCGAAACAUCUGAAAUGAACAGUUUCAUUUUCAGUUUGAUAUUGUGCCUAUAUGCAAUAUACAUAUAUUUUGUUAGUCCUGUCAUUCAAGUAGCAUCAGUAUCCAGAAAUCUUGCAGCAUUUUGCGACUGAUAUUCUCACCUUGGACACUUCUUACUCCAUUGUGAUAGAGGGAGACACAUGAACUAUUCAAUCUUCUGUAAAAAUAUUUUUUAUGUUAAAAACAAAUUAGCUCUGCAUCCUGACCUGGACCAGAUGUAAAACUGGAGAUUUUGUUGGUUCUUAUUUUGGUAUUUAAAAGAAAAUAAAUCUCUUUCAC
rnacentral:lncRNA from 7 species